rnacentral:rRNA from 1 species
AUUGAACGCUGGCGGCGUGCCUAAUACAUGCAAGUCGAACGCAGUGGGGACGGGUGAGUAACACGUGGGUAACCUCCCAUCAGAGGGGAUAACACUUGGAAACAGGUGCUAAACCGAUACUGAUGGAUGGACCCGCGGUGCAUUAGCUAGUUGGUGGGGUAACGGCUCACCAAGGCCACGAUGCAUAACCGAACCUCGAGGGUGAUCGGCCACAAGGGGACUGAGACACGGCCCAUACUCCUACGGGAGGCAGCAGGAGGGAAUCUUCCGGAAUGGACGAAAGGCUGACCGAGCAACGCCGCGUGAAGGAAGAAGGUUUUCGGAUCGUAAAGCUCUGGUGUUAGAGAAACGGUAACUAACCAGAAAGGGACGGCUAACUACGUGCCAGCAGCCGCGGUAAGUC